AUACAAAGGGCAGCGAAACCGGGAUUUCAAGCAAAUCCCAUGAAGUUGUUCUAAUUUCGGAUUGUAGUCUGGACGGCGGCGACAGGAAGCUGGAAGCGCUAGCAAUCGAAGAGCAACAAGCUAGUAAAAAAACAUUCCGGGGUCGUGUACACAGCGCCCAUAGCUCCACGAGAGGUUGGAACACCCGAGGCCGGUGGAGUAACCUUUUAGGAGCGAGCCGUCGAAGGUGGGAAAAGUGAUUGGGGUGAAGU
rnacentral:rRNA from 1 species